rnacentral:rRNA from 1 species
AGAGGAGCUUGCUUUUCUUAGCUUAGUGGCGAACGGGUGAGUAACGCGUGAGUAACCUGCCCUGGAGUGGGGGACAACAGUUGGAAACGACUGCUAAUACCGCAUAAGCCCACGGAUCCGCAUGGAUCUGCGGGAAAAGGAUUUAUUCGCUUCAGGAUGGACUCGCGUCCAAUUAGCUAGUUGGUGAGGUAACGGCCCACCAAGGCGACGAUUGGUAGCCGGACUGAGAGGUUGAACGGCCACAUUGGGACUGAGACACGGCCCAGACUCCUACGGGAGGCAGCAGUGGGGGAUAUUGCACAAUGGGGGAAACCCUGAUGCAGCGACGCCGCGUGGAGGAAGAAGGUUUUCGGAUUGUAAACUCCUGUCGUUAGGGACGAUAAUGACGGUACCUAACAAGAAAGCACCGGCUAACUACGUGCCAGCAGCCGCGGUAAAACGUAGGGUGCAAGCGUUGUCCGGAAUUACUGGGUGUAAAGGGAGCGCAGGCGGACCGGCAAGUUGGAAGUGAAAACUAUGGGCUCAACCCAUAAAUUGCUUUCAAAACUGCUGGCCUUGAGUAGUGCAGAGGUAGGUGGAAUUCCCGGUGUAGCGGUGGAAUGCGUAGAUAUCGGGAGGAACACCAGUGGCGAAGGCGACCUACUGGGCACCAACUGACGCUGAGGCUCGAAAGCAUGGGUAGCAAACAGGAUUAG